AAAGUCGUAACAAGGUCUCCGUAGGUGAACCUGCGGAGGGAUCAUUAACACGUUUCCAAUAACGUUUCCAAACCAAACACCGUGAACAUAACAACACUCCCUUUGCAGUCAGACGAACGAUCACCAUCAGGGUAGAGUGUGGGAAACCAUACUAUGGCUCGUUCUAGGGUCAGUCGAGAUCCCAAUCUGCUGUGAAGUGUCAUUGCGACUACCUGGCAGUCUACACUUCGGUGUAGCGUUCUGCCGAAUCUUUUAACCCAAUUUACACCCCUUUCACAACAUACUAAUAACUGAACCAUUUUUUCGAUAUCGUGUUUUCGAACAUGAUUAGAAAAAAGAUAUACGUAAUGCUGAACAACUCUUAGCAAUGGAUAUCUUGGUUCUC
rnacentral:misc_RNA from 1 species